GGUAAGGAUGUCACAGACGGUGCCCCGGAUACGGGGUGAAAAGGGAAUGCGGUGAGACACCGCGGCUGCCCCCGCAACUGUAAGCGGCGAGCCUUCGCUCCAAAUGCCACUGGAAUGACAUUCCGGGAAGGCGGUAGCGCAAGGCAUCGACCCGCGAGCCAGGAGACCUGCCGUCAUCGUGCAACCCAA
rnacentral:ncRNA from 2 species